UACGGAGGGUGCAAGCGUUAUCCGGAUUCACUGGGUUUAAAGGGUGCGUAGGCGGCUAUUUAAGUCAGUGGUGAAAGCUCGCAGCUUAACUGUGAAACUGCCAUUGAAACUGAGUAGCUUGAGUACGAUUGAUGUGGGCGGAAUAUAUCAUGUAGCGGUGAAAUGCUUAGAUAUGAUAUAGAACACCGAUUGCGAAGGCAGCUCACAAAAUCGCAACUGACGCUGAGGCACGAAAGCGUGGGGAGCAAACAGG
rnacentral:rRNA from 1 species